UCGAACGAUGAAGCCCUUCGGGGUGGAUUAGUGGCGAACGGGUGAGUAACACGUGGGCAAUCUGCCCUUCACUCUGGGACAAGCCCUGGAAACGGGGUCUAAUACCGGAUAACACUUCUUCAGGCAUCUGUAGAGGUUAAAAGCUCCGGCGGUGAAGGAUGAGCCCGCGGCCUAUCAGCUUGUUGGUGGGGUAAUGGCCUACCAAGGCGACGACGGGUAGCCGGCCUGAGAGGGCGACCGGCCACACUGGGACUGAGACACGGCCCAGACUCCUACGGGAGGCAGCAGUGGGGAAUAUUGCACAAUGGGCGAAAGCCUGAUGCAGCGACGCCGCGUGAGGGAUGACGGCCUUCGGGUUGUAAACCUCUUUCAGCAGGGAAGAAGCGAAAGUGACGGUACCUGCAGAAGAAGCGCCGGCUAACUACGUGCCAGCAGCCGCGGUAAUACGUAGGGCGCAAGCGUUGUCCGGAAUUAUUGGGCGUAAAGAGCUCGUAGGCGGCUUGUCGCGUCGGAUGUGAAAGCCCGGGGCUUAACCCCGGGUCUGCAUUCGAUACGGGCAGGCUAGAGUGUGGUAGGGGAGAUCGGAAUUCCUGGUGUAGCGGUGAAAUGCGCAGAUAUCAGGAGGAACACCGGUGGCGAAGGCGGAUCUCUGGGCCAUUACUGACGCUGAGGAGCGAAAGCGUGGGGAGCGAACAGGAUU
rnacentral:rRNA from 1 species